UACGUAGGGGGCGAGCGUUGUCCGGAAUCAUUGGGCGUAAAGCGCGUGUAGGCGGCUCGAUAAGUCCGGUGUGAAACCUUGGGGCUCAACCCCAAGCCUGCACUGGAUACUGCCGAGCUAGAGUCCGGGAGGGGAGAGCGGAAUUCCUAGUGUAGCGGUGAAAUGCGCAGAUAUCAGGAGGAACACCGGUGGCGAAGGCGGUUCUCUGGGCCUUACCUGACGCUGAGGAGCGAAAGCGUGGGGAGCGAACAGG
rnacentral:rRNA from 1 species